UGGGGAAUUUUGGACAAUGGGCGAAAGCCUGAUCCAGCAAUGCCGCGUGUGUGAAGAAGGCCUUCGGGUUGUAAAGCACUUUUGUCCGGAAAGAAAUCCUUGGCUCUAAUACAGUCGGGGGAUGACGGUACCGGAAGAAUAAGCACCGGCUAACUACGUGCCAGCAGCCGCGGUAAUACGUAGGGUGCAAGCGUUAAUCGGAAUUACUGGGCGUAAAGCGUGCGCAGGCGGUUUGCUAAGACCGAUGUGAAAUCCCCGGGCUCAACCUGGGAACUGCAUUGGUGACUGGCAGGCUAGAGUAUGGCAGAGGGGGGUAGAAUUCCACGUGUAGCAGUGAAAUGCGUAGAGAUGUGGAGGAAUACCGAUGGCGAAGGCAGCCCCCUGGCAAGUACUGACGCUCAUGCACGAAAGCGUGGGGAGCAAACAGGAUUAGAUACCCUGGUAGUCCACGCCCUAAACGAUGUCAACUAGUUGUUGGGGAUUCAUUUCCUUAGUAACGUAGCUAACGCGUGAAGUUGACCGCCUGGGGAGUACGGUCGCAAGAUUAAAACUUAAAGGAAUUGACGGGGUCAUAGCUGUUUCC
rnacentral:rRNA from 1 species